UACGGAGGGGGCUAGCGUUGUUCGGAAUUACUGGGCGUAAAGCGCGCGUAGGCGGACCUGCAAGUCGGGGGUGAAAGCCCGAGGCUCAACCUCGGAACUGCCUUCGAUACUGCGGGUCUCGAGUCCGGGAGAGGUGAGUGGAAUUCCUAGUGUAGAGGUGAAAUUCGUAGAUAUUCGCAAGAACACCAGUGGCGAAGGCGGCUCACUGGCCCGAUACUGACGCUGAGGCACGAAAGCGUGGGGAGCGAACAGG
rnacentral:rRNA from 1 species